GCAGCAGCCGCGGUAAAACGUAGGGGGCGAGCGUUGUCCGGAAUUACUGGGCGUAAAGGGCGCGUAGGCGGUUUUCCAAGUCAGAGGUGAAAACUACCGGCUUAACCGGUAGCCUGCCUCUGAAACUGGGAGACUUGAGGGCAGGAGAGGGGAGUGGAAUUCCCAGUGUAGCGGUGAAAUGCGUAGAUAUUGGGAGGAACACCAGUGGCGAAGGCGGCUCUCUGGCCUGUUACUGACGCUGAGGCGCGAAAGCGUGGGGAGCGAACGGGAUUAGAUACCCCGGUAGUCCACGCCGUAAACGAUGGGUGCUAGGUGUAGGAGGUAUCGACCCCUUCUGUGCCGUAGUUAACACAAUAAGCACCCCGCCUGGGGAGUACGGCCGCAAGGUUGAAACUUAAAGGAAUUGGCGGGGGA
rnacentral:rRNA from 1 species